ACUGGUGAGGUCCUCGAUAGCUACGUCCUGAACAAAAAAUGCUUAAAGUGUGAGCUCUAUUUGAACAAGUGUGAUGAGAAUGUCGAGGAGUUUGAGGAGUGGAGGGCAGAGCAUAUGGCCAAGGGAGAGUGUGACGCAAACUUCACAGGAAGUUCGCCAGCAAUGGAGGCAGAAGGAGCCCAAGUUCUGUGGUCCAGGUCCAUUGAAAAACACAAGAUGCGCAAAUAUGGGCAAAGAAAAUAGAGGAGCGGUUCCUUAACGAUGCUCAUACUGCCAGCAGAAAUGAGAGAAGGCAGUACGAGCGGGAACACAAUAUUACCCUACCAAAGGGAAAGCCAGGGAGAAAAAAAAAAGGGGGCACCAAGCCUGGAGCUGCCUUAAGGGGAAACCGAGAACACCAUGCAUCAGAAGCAGAAACAGCAAAGAUGGCAAUUACCAAAAAGCCCCUGGACAGGUCAAGUCCUUAAGGCGGCGGUUAACUUAAAUUACCCUCAGAAGGUCGAUUUUUCAUUUUUAACAAAAAUCAAUUCUUUAACUAUCUAACUUUAAUUUCCCUAACUUUCAGGGUAUGUUUUAUAGCAAUUUUGUUAUUUUUUCGCUACUUUUCAACAACCAGUUGAUGCUUCUACCGCCGUUGCCAUGGCAACGAAAACUAGAAUCCUUUUAUAUCUUUUGUUUUUUCCCGCCCCGGAUGCAUCCAAUCUUUUUAAAAUUGACCAGAAACUGCAAUCAAACUAUCCAGCGGCUUCUAGAGGCAAUAAAAGGCCUGGAACGUUAGCCUGUCGUUGCCGCGGAUCGCCGGGCCAGAUCCCUAGUCUUCAAGACCCAAGGAUCCCCGGCCUUGGGAGAAAUCAAACAGGCUCUUAUCAAA